GAUUCCUGCAUUGCAGGGGGUUUGACAAAUGACACUUCCAACUCUUUAAUUUCAUGAUUAUGGAGAAAGUGGACAGAAAGAAGUUUCUCUCCAUGUCUCUGUGGGAAAUAAUAUUGCAGCCAAAAUUAAUGUUUAGGUUUUGCUAGAUAAGCAAAGGGUUAAGACACAUGGACUUCCCACACAACUCCUCCAUGCAGCUGAAGAGAAAGUAUGCUUGUUCUGACCUCUCACCGACUGUUUUUUUAUCUCAAGCAUGUGUUUUUUAACAUAAGAUUCUCGCUAUCUUGUUUUCACUGCUGCUUUUUGCUGGAAUCAAGUCUGAAAAUUUAUGAUCCAUAAUUAUAAAAAUAACAGUAAUCUUCUCCCACCAUGUCAUGGCUGGAAACUGCUGACUUGCAAAUUGAGCUGCCAGUUCCUCUGGUGUUGACUUAUAUCUUACCCAUGAGUAAUAACUCCUCGCCUUUCUACGUUCUCAGCUAUAAAUCUCAAAGCACUUUAAAAGGGAGCAUAUUAAGAGCCGGAGAGAAGACAGCUUUCUACAGUUCAUGAAUAUUAAAAUUUGGAGGUUCGAACCCUUUGAUGGAUUUCCUGGCUGCUCUUUUGCUCCCUUCCACAAUUUAUGUAGCUUUACAUUGCGUGGUUCGUUUCCUAAGAAAAGUCGUAGGAGCGUCACAUGGAAUCAUGGAAAUUGUCAUUGGAAUGGAAUCUGAGGAUCAUGGAAUCCAACUCACUGCUAUGCAAGAAUCUCAGUUAAGGCCGCUUGAGAGAUGGCCAUCCAAACUUUGCUUUGAAACCUCUAGUGGAGGAGAGAGUCCACUACCUUCCAAGGGAAGACAGCCCUUCAGCUGCUGAACAGC